UACGAAGGGGGCUAGCGUUGCUCGGAAUCACUGGGCGUAAAGGGCGCGUAGGCGGCCAUUCAAGUCGGGGGUGAAAGCCUGUGGCUCAACCACAGAAUUGCCUUCGAUACUGUUUGGCUUGAGUAUGGUAGAGGUCAGUGGAACUGCGAGUGUAGAGGUGAAAAUUCGUAGAUAUUCGCAAGAACACCAGUGGCGAAGGCGGCUGACUGGACCAUUACUGACGCUGAG
rnacentral:rRNA from 1 species